rnacentral:rRNA from 1 species
AGAGUUUGAUCAUGGCUCAGAGCGAACGUUAGCGGCACGCCUAACACAUGCAAGUCGCACGAGAAAGGGGGCAACCCUGAGUAAAGUGGCGCACGGGUGCGUAACACGUAGAUAACCUGCCCUCCGAAGGGGGAUAACGUUCCGAAAGGAGCGCUAAUACCGCAUAACGCUGAGACUGGUUUGCCAGUUUCGGACAAAGGUAGGGACCCGCAAGGGCCUAUCGUCGGGGGAGGGGUCUGCGGCCCAUCAGCUAGUUGGGGAGGUAAUGGCUCACCAAGGCAGAGACGGGUAGCUGGUCUGAGAGGAUGAUCAGCCACACUGGUACUGGAACACGGACCAGACUCCUACGGGAGGCAGCAGUGGGGAAUCUUGGUCAAUGGGCGCAAGCCUGAACCAGCGAUGCCGCGUGAGUGAUGAAGGCCUUCGGGUUGUAAAGCUCUGUGGGGCGGGACGAAAGAAUCGGUUCUAACAGGACCGAAGUUGACGGUACCGCCUUAGCAAGCACCGGCUAACUCUGUGCCAGCAGCCGCGGUAAGACAGAGGGUGCAAACGUUGCUCGGAAUCACUGGGCGUAAAGGGCGUGUAGGCGGGGAAGUAAGUCGGGCGUGAAAUCCCUAGGCUCAACCUAGGAACUGCACUCGAAACUACUUCUCUUGAGUAUCGGAGAGGAAAGCGGAAUACCUGGUGUAGAGGUGAAAUUCGUAGAUAUCAGGUGGAACACCAGUGGCGAAGGCGGCUUUCUGGACGGUAACUGACGCUGANNNNCGAAAGCGUGGGGAGCAAACAGGAUUAGAUACCCUAGUAGUCC